rnacentral:rRNA from 1 species
GACGAAUGCUGGCGGCGUGCUUAACACAUGCAAGUCGAACGGUGAACAGGAGCUUGCUCCUGGGAUCAGUGGCGAACGGGUGAGUAACACGUGGGCAACCUGCCCCUCACUCUGGGAUAACUCCGGGAAACCGGGGCUAAUACCGGAUACGACCUGGAGCGACAUCUCUCCAGGUGGAAAGAACUUCGGUGAGGGAUGGGCCCGCGGCCUAUCAGCUAGUUGGUGGGGUAACGGCCUACCAAGGCGACGACGGGUAGCCGGCCUGAGAGGGCGACCGGCCACACUGGGACUGAGACACGGCCCAGACUCCUACGGGAGGCAGCAGUGGGGAAUAUUGCGCAAUGGGCGAAAGCCUGACGCAGCGACGCCGCGUGAGGGACGACGGCCUUCGGGUUGUAAACCUCUUUCAGCAGGGACGAAGCGAAAGUGACGGUACCUGCAGAAGAAGCACCGGCUAACUACGUGCCAGCAGCCGCCGUAACAC